UACAGAGGGGGCAAGCGUUAUUCGGAAUUAUUGGGCGUAAAGGGCGCGUAGGCGGCGAUUCAAGUGACGGGUGAAAUCCCUCGGCUUAACCGAGGAACUGCCUGUCAGACUGGAUUGCUUGAGGCCGGGAGAGGCGAGCGGAAUUCCCAGUGUAGCGGUGAAAUGCGUAGAUAUUGGGAGGAACACCAGUGGCGAAGGCGGCUCGCUGGACCGGUUCUGACGCUGAGGCGCGAAAGCCAGGGGAGCAAACGGG
rnacentral:rRNA from 1 species